UACGUAGGGUGCAAGCGUUGUCCGGAAUUAUUGGGCGUAAAGAGCUCGUAGGCGGUCUGUCGCGUCGGCUGUGAAAACUCGGGGCUCAACCCCGAACUUGCGGUGGGUACGGGCAGACUAGAGUGUGGUAGGGGAGACUGGAAUUCCUGGUGUAGCGGUGAAAUGCGCAGAUAUCAGGAGGAACACCGAUGGCGAAGGCAGGUCUCUGGGCCACUACUGACGCUGAGAAGCGAAAGCAUGGGGAGCGAACAGG
rnacentral:rRNA from 1 species